rnacentral:rRNA from 1 species
AUACGGAGGAUGCGAGCGUUAUCCGGAUUUAUUGGGUUUAAAGGGUGCGUAGGCGGGCUGUUAAGCGUGAGGUGAAAGCUCGGGGCUCAACCCCGGAACUGCCUCGCGAACUGGCGGGCUUGGAUGUUCGUGCCGUGGGCGGAAUGUGUGGGGGAGGGGUGAAAUGCAUAGAGAUCACACAGAACACCGAUUGCGAAGGCAUCUCACGAACGGAUGAUUGACGCUGAGGCACGAAAGCGUGGGGAUCAAACAGGAUUAGAUACCCUGGUAGUCCACGCAGUAAACGAUGAUAACUAACCGCUGGUGCGCAAGUAUCAGUGGCCAAGCGAAAGCGAUAAGUUAUCCACCUGGGGAGUACGACCGCAAGGUUGAAACUCAAAGGAAUUGGCGGGGG